rnacentral:rRNA from 1 species
UACGAAGGGGACUAGCGUUGUUCGGAAUCACUGGGCGUAAAGCGCACGUAGGCGGAUAUGUCAGUCAGGGGUGAAAAUCCCGGGGGCUCAACCUCGGAACUGCCUUUGAUACAGCAUAUCUUGAGUCCGAUAGAGGUGGGUGGAAUUCCUAGUGUAGAGGUGAAAUUCGUAGAUAUUAGGAAGAACACCGGUGGCGAAGGCGGCCCACUGGAUCGGUACUGACGCUGAGGUGCGAAAGCGUGGGGAGCAAACAGG